rnacentral:rRNA from 1 species
AUUGAACGCUGGCGGCAGGCCUAACACAUGCAAGUCGAGCGGAUGAAGGGAGCUUGCUCCUGGAUUCAGCGGCGGACGGGUGAGUAAUGCCUAGGAAUCUGCCUGGUAGUGGGGGAUAACGUCCGGAAACGGGCGCUAAUACCGCAUACGUCCUGAGGGAGAAAGUGGGGGAUCUUCGGACCUCAUGCUAUCAGAUGAGCCUAGGUCGGAUUGGCUAGUUGGUGGGGUAAAGGCCUACCAAGGCGACGAUCCGUAACUGGUCUGAGAGGAUGAUCAGUCACACGGGAACUGAGACACGGUCCAGGCGCCUACGGGAGGCAGCAGUGGGGAAUAUUGGACAAUGGGCGAGAACCUGAUCCAGCCAUGCCGCGUGUGUGAAGAAGGUCUUCGGAUUGUAAAGCACUUUAAGUUGGGGGGAAGGGCAGUAAGUUAAUACCUUGCUGUUUUGACGGUACCAACAGAAUAAGCACCGGCUAACUUCGUG